rnacentral:lncRNA from 1 species
UCGAGGCUCCUUAUGUUGUAGAACUAGUGGUUCUUGUCGAACCUGAGGUAAAGUUGUUUCUCCAAGUACCGAAAUUUGAGGCUGGUGUAGUUUAGAUUGUGCUAUCCUAGAUACUUUAUCAUUAUGAAGCCUUGCCACCACUCUUUCAAUCUCUGCAGUUCUUUGUGAUAACGUAGCGAGGGCAUUCAUAAUAGCAUCUAACUUAGACUCCGAACUUUCUGUCAUACUAAUGUCUUGACCUCCGACCAUUCUAAAAGAAGGACAAAAAUGACCCUAUAAGAGGCAAUAUUGGUUUAUAGGAGGGUAAUCCAAAACCUAUAAAACACCUUAAGAAUUUCAAGAAGAGGGGUAAUCCACUCUCUCCAAGAAGAAUAAGACUCCAAUAUUGUAACAGAAGAAGUAUCAAUUUAGAGGAGGGUAAUCCGCAACCUCUAAAAAAUGCUAGUAUACCUUCAAGUAGAGGUGUAAUCCACACUCUACUAAGAAAGAACUAGCUCUGAUAUCUCAAGUUAGUGUAGUCUCGACAAACUGUCACGGACACAAAAUACAGACUUGAAAUCUAACAAGAAGUUCAAGAAGAAGUGGUAGAACUAGAUUAAACAGAUGAGUACAAGAACAACACUAGAAAGGUGAGCUAGAACUCCAA